CCGACUUCCUCGCCGACCAUCUAUGUGCUAAGAUUCGCAUCCAUCUACUACCGCUCGUCGGCAGUUCAUUUCGACGUGACCCGGCCGUUCCGGCUGGGAGUGCUGCUGCAGCUAAGCUGGCCAUGGCCUCCUGUCACCAUCGGAGGAGAGAUCGGUCCAUGAUGGGAACCAAGUUGUGCUCCUCGUGGAGUUCCAAGCGUGGUCCUGGUGGCUGGCGUGACGGUUGGGCUCAGCCACGGCGGUUCACCCCAACGCCGCUGUUAUGGCGGUGGAGAGCCGCAGAGAAAGAGCUGGUGGUCGCCUGCCAGGCUGCUGCUGCGGGCGUCCAUGCGGAGCAAAAGCUUUUGUCUUUCCUGACCUGCAACUCCAAUCUACCGCUGGCCACGUCCCCAACCUGCUACUGCUGCCACCAUGCCAAGGGCCUCCGCCUUUACGAUGACAGCUCCUGCCCCGACACCAGGGGUAGCAAGGUCUGCCUCGUCCUCUCUGACCAAGAUGGUGAUGACGAUGCGCAGGCUCACCUGCUUCCUCGCCGAUUGUCUAUGCGUUGCGGCUUGCAUCCGUCUGCUCAUGCUCGUCGGCUGCUCAUUUCAGCGUGACCCGACUGUUUUGGAUCCAGCAGUGCUGCUGCUGUACUGGCAGCUGCCUUCUGUCGCCUGUCGUAAGCAGCUGCUCCAUGAUACGAUUAUGCUGCCGAGUCGGUGUAUGAGAGUGCCGACAUGCCCAUGGACACAGGCGCAGCAAUCUGGUGCCUCAGGUCUGAGAUGGGUACAACGGAGACAUGGGGCAGCCAUCCCUGAUAUCAGAGUACGACCCUGGUCAGGAAGGAGACCUGUUCAAGGUCCCGGAGCCCAUUAUCGAUGAACCGCCACUGCUCUGCCUCAAGCCCUAGCGCGGCGACCUCAAUGCCCGUGUCCAGUAGCUUGUUGACAUCGACAACCAAAGGCCCUCCGACCAGCUAUGCAGUGCUGAUGCUCUUGGGCUAACCGAGGCCUCCCACGCCCUGCUUUGACUACCUUCUCGGCGUGGCGACGGUGAUGCUCAACCUCUGCUACAUGCUCUCCGGUGAGCUACUAGUUUACCCCUUCUGUUUUCUGGCUCCAGUGUUCUCUGUGAUUGGCUGUACUUAUGCUCAAGCCGAUGACCCUCGGUUCCUAGCUCUCUUUAUCAUUGGACCAACUGUAUGUUGUUGCAUGAGUAGAAUUUUAUCGAGGCAUGAAGAUGAUGCAUGGUGAAUCUGAUGUUUCACU